AGGGGCUACAAUCGAGAAGGCUCUCUGCCUAGUAGAAGACAAAUGAUAGGUCCGGAUGUUAGGGACUUCAAGCAAAUUUUGGUCUUUUGACCAAACUAAUCUCUGGGGUUGAUAAGGGGAAAUCAUAUUUCAUAAACUAGAGCUAAUGUGGUCUAUUCAAUGCAAUUUUUUGAAUCAGCAUCCCAAAUAACCCCAGGAACAGGCCUAAAAAUGAAAACACCAAGGCGCCCCUGCUUCCAGGCACCACAUGAAACAUCUCCGCUCAGGGGGAUGGAGGAGGAGGAGAAGCAGCAGUCAGGAGGCUUGUUGUCAUGCCUGUCCUGAGUAGUCAGCCUCUCCCUUCCUGACAUCCCCAUUGCCUCGGUACUGUAAGACGGUUUCACGAGACCAGUCACUCCCGUUGCAACGGUAUAGUAACGGUGAGUCCAUGAACCAUAUUUUAGUUGUUGGGGACCAUUGGUGUUCCACGGACCACAGGUUGGAAAUCACUGUGCUAAAAAGACCAUCAAUCAUGAAGCGAAUGCACAAUGUCACCCAUUUCUUAAUGAAGACAGAAAGAAGAAAUAAAACCUUCCCUUUGGAAAGUUUUUUAAAAAUUUUCUCAUCACUAUUAUAAUUCUUCUGUCUCACCCUUUAUCACAAGAUCUCAGGGCAGUGUGCAGAUAAAACCAGCUUACAACAGAGGCCAGUUUUAAAUUUAAAACACUAAGGAGUCGUGUUGUCAGAUUAAACAGGUUCUGGCUCAGGUUUUUAGAGCAUCCAGUUCGAAAUCCAGUUAUAAAUAGAUGUUUAAUUAAUAACACGCUGUCAAUAUGCAGGUGGAAAAUAUGAAAGGAUUGAAAUCAAAAGGCUUCUGUGUUGCUAUCUGAAAUGAAAUCUCUUGCCGAUAUGAGACAGGCAGAGAAGACCUGGUUGCAUAGGAUUAUAUUGCACUCAUCUCAGUCUGAGGAGUCUCAAGUAAACCGCUUUUAUUUGUAUGCAUUCCAUUCCUCGGCUUGCCAAAUUGCAGGCCCUGGAUUGCUCCCACAAAAGGGGCCAUUUAGGCGAAUUUUGCCAUUUGAAAUUGUUUAGCUGAAUCUCUGGGUGUGAUCGGUUCUCGACUAUAAUGUCAUAAUGAUUCAGAAACCGAGACAGACACCGGACAACCAAGGAGACACAUUCAACCGAUCCCAUUGCUAUUUGUGGCAUUGCUGGAGAGGGAGUUAUAGAAUAUGUCUAGGGCAGUAAGUAGUGGGGCUAAAUACAUAUUCUUGUCUGCUUGAAGCCUGGUAGAUUUUCACCUCUUAUGCUGGGAGGAGGACGAGACAGGUGACAGCUGAGAGUGCUCAGAAGGGUUCUUAACCACUGUUUACCUUCUUCAAUCCAUCCUCUCGGCGUAAGGAAGUAGCCAUUCGAUACCAUCCUUAUGCCAGGAGGAGGGCAAGACAUGCUGUGGCUGAGAGCACUCCAAAGGCCUUCCUCCUUUUUCCUUUCUGAAUAAGGCUAUGAUAGGCCACCGUGCCCUUAUGCUGAGAAGACAGGGAAAAUGAAGAGGGCCUGAGGUAACUGCAUUUGUCCCCUGGGCCUUAGUUUUGUCCUGUUUUGUCUUUCAAGAACAGCCUUAAAACACUGUAGUAAGUAAAUGAAAACUGCUUUACUUCAGCCAAACAUAAAGUUCAGCACACUCAGUGGAAUAAUGCAAAAGGAAGCUAGGAAGUCUUAUGACAAGCACAGUUCUUAGUCUCUGAUAAAUUCCCAAAUCAAAUAACAGCCUUACUUCAGACAAAGAAACAGCAAUAAAUUCUUAGGAGCAGUUUCCCAGAUGCAGACUUGAAGCAGGCACAAGGGGAGCAAAGGCUUAGGCUUUAGAGCCAGUUUGUUACCAGCAAGAGCUGGCUGCACCUGCAUCUGCGUUAUAGUCCUGAGUCCCCUCACAGCUGCUAUGGCACUUCCUAAUUACUCAGCUGCAUUUCUGGAAGCUAUUCUAGUUGAAUGAUGUCUCUGCUCUGUUUCCUUUCGCCUCUCCUGAAAUGUGGGCACUUGCAAAAUCUCCUCCUCAGAUUCCAACUGCCCCUCUGAUUCAUGAACACUUUCCUGCUCCCCUUCCUCUUCUUAAGAAGAGGAAUCCCUAACAAGUUUUCCCAUGCCUGGCCUAGUGCCUAUGUUAUUUAUGUGACACAAAAGUGAAGAGGGUGAAACAGAGAGGCAAAGGAGAUUCGGGUAACAAAUCUUUUGCACCAGACUCUCCAAACUGGAGAGUCCUGCUUACCACACUUUUUAACAUUCCAGUUUUUCUCGCUUUCUCCCACCGUCCACCUUUGUCCUCAGCUUGUUUCCAUUGCCACAAACUGCAAACUGGAGAUCUAAUUUGAUCUCAGUUUGCUCCGCAGAGAGGAAAGGAGAAAAAGAUGUUGGAUCAUGCCCUUCCCAGUAGGCCUAGGCAAAAGGAAAAUGCUGCAGCUGCUACCACCAUAAGUGUAAUAAUAAUGUUACUACCUUGUCCACACUCAGACACACAUGUCCCAAUUGUAAAAUGUUGAAAGGUAUAUCAUAGAGAUAUGUGCUGAUGUUGAAUUAUGACCAACGGGAUGGUUAACACUAGUAAGAGCAGGGAUGGAAAUGGAAUCAGGCCAAGAAAGGAAGUCUCAUGACUCAACUCUCCCUUUUAUACAAUGGUCUCUUGUGGGAAUGUUCUGCUUUGGGGGAAUACCAAUGACUUGAGUCAAUCUAAAGGAGGGGUGCUCUUAGCCUCACCUCUCUUUCUCAAAACAUUCAGAUGGAAUGGCCAGGUUUAAGCCUAGCUUUUAAACAGAAAAUGCUUUCCACCAUCCCAGUCUACUUUCUAGCAUUCUAUCAGAUAACAAAUUUGUGUUUGUAUGUUUGUUUUAUGCACUGACACGCUUAUUUUCAAGUGUUCAAAAUCUUCCCAAGUGCUCUACAAAAUCUGAAAAAUGGCUGCCUCAGAAAAGACUAAUGUGUGACCACAGAGAAGCCUUCACAAAACAAAGCAACCCAAUAGGACCGACUGGGAGACUGGAGAAUUUUAAAUCGAAGCCAAAGCUCUUCAUGUGAUGCAGGAAAAGUAACCGGGAUGAUACAAGAGAUAUGCAACUUGGAAACAUGGACACCUGCAAGGGGCAUUUCCCAGGCCAUAAUGACUAUAAAAGGUAAGUGCAUUAAGUUCGCUUUUGCCAUCCUGCCUAGAUCAUAGAUACAUGUGCAACUGAUAUCCAACAAGUUUCUUGCUUGAUCACAAAACCAUUUAGGGAGAGUUAGCCGUAUUUGUCAAAAUGGCCAACGCGAAUGUACAAUAAUUAGGGUUGUGCUGUUUUUCGCACUCACUACCCAUUUGUACUGUACCCUUGGGGACUAAAUAAUUACCUACUUUGUGUGGUUAUCUAGUUCACUAAUUACCCACUAAAAUUGGGGUCAGGUGUUAACUGCUGGAAAUAAGUAUCCUCCAAAGAGUUGAAUAAGCUGCAUUUAAAAAGGAUGCAUUUUUAGCAUAAGUUCAGAGGAAAGAAAUGUGAAACGCUUACCCUGUUUCUGUAUUUUUGGGUCAUGUUAUGCACGGAACGAGAGGAUGUGAUUUCACACUUACAUGUCAAAAUGUUCUGUGGGAUUCCAAGAUAUCACCUCUUCCCGAGAGAGACAAAUGGGAAUAUUUUCAGACACUUUUUUUUUUUAUAAACCACCAAGUUCUCUCUGCCACUUGGAAGCUGUGCCGUGUAGCCUCUUUCAGUCUCCCAUUGAGGAAGGUAUGAUGCAUCGGAGGAAUGUUUUCUCCCAUUGUUGUUAAUCCAGAAUGAUUACUCAUACCAUCUCUAUGUGUGGCAUUUCAAAACUUGCAUACAUUUGAUGAUGCAGCAGGAAGGGAUAACAUCUUUCCUCUGCUGAUGGGUUGUACCAUUUCCGAUUGCUGCCGGAGAGUGGAAUUCUCGUAUGGCUUCCUACACUGAAAAAAAAAAAAGGCCACCUCAUUGUAAAAUUAAAGUGAAUGCAUUAGUUAGAAAGUAGAAAUGAUGAAUCAUUCAAGUAAUGUUUUCCCUUGUUUGCAACCUGUACGGUAUAGGUAAAGAACAGUUUUUUUUCCCCUGCAUUUGCUGAUCAUGUUGAUGGGCUCAAUUGAACGAAGCCAAAAUUGAAGAGCAGCCGGUGUUAUUCCCAAAAAGAAAGAUCUCAAAGGAAACAUCUGAAAAUAGUUGUUUAUUGUUAGGAAAACUCAAUGUGUGCUCUUGAGGUCUUCCUAAGGGCCCUACAGGAAGCUCUCCAUCUUGGCUAAGUUAACUUUUGUAGAGUCCCGGUGGCGAAGUGUGUUAAAGCACCGAGCUGCUGAACUUGCAGACCGAAAGGUCGCAGGUUCGAAUCUGGGGAGCGGAGUAAGUGCCCACUGUUGCUCCAGCUUCUGCCAACCUAGCAGUUCAAAAACAUGCCAAUGUGGGUAGAUCAAUAGGUACCACUCCAGCGGGAAGGUAACAGCACUUCAUGCAGUCAUGCCGGCCACAUGACCUUGGAGGUGUCUACGGACAACGCCGGCUCUUCAGCUUAGAAAUGGAGAUGAGCACCAACCCCCAGAAUCAGACUCGAUUAGAUUUAAUAUCAAGUGGAAACCUUUACCCUUUACUUAUGUCCAAUACAUAGGCAAUGAACAAAUAUAAUACAGUAGAAUCUCAUUUAUCCAACAUAAAUGGGCCGGCAGAACAUUGAUAAGCGAAAAUGUUGGAUAAUAAGGAAGGAUUAAGAAAAAAGCCUAUUAAACAAAAUUACAUUAUGAUUUUACAAAUUAAGCACCAAAACAUCAUGUUUUACAACAAAUUGACAGAAAAAGCAGUUCAAUACACAGUAAUGUUAGGUAGUACAGUAGAGUCUCACUUAUCCAAGCUAAAUGGGCCGGCAGAAACUUGGAUAAGUGAAUAUCUUGGAUAAUAAGGAGAGAUUAAGGAAAAGCCUAUUAAACAUCAAAUUAGGUUAUGAUUUUACAAAUUAAGCACCAAAACAUCAUGUUAUACAACAAAUCUAACAGAAAAAGUAGUUCAAUAGGCAGUAAUGUUAUGUUGUAAUUGCUGUAUUUAUGAAUUUAGCACCAAAAUAUCACGAUGUAUUGAAAACAUUGACUACAAAAAUGGCUUGGAUUAUCCAGAGGCUUGGAUAAGCAAGGCUUGGAUAAGUGAGACUCUACUGUAAUUACUGUAUUUACAAAUUUAGCACCAAAACAUUACAACAUUUACUACAAAAACAUUGACUACUAUAAGGCUGACUGCAUUGGAUAAUAUUGCAUUGGAUAAGUGAAGCUUGGAUAAGUGAGACUCUACUGUAAUGGUUUCAGGCAAUGUGCUGUUUUGUAUUUGUGUGUUGUUGUUUUAUGGAGUCUCCUGAAGAGGCCAAGUUAUGUCUAUCGGUAGACGAUCAUCUUUUGAGCAUCCUGAGAUGUGACUCAAUUGGACAAACCAUGCUCACAUUGCGGAAGAGCAUCAGCAUGUAUUUCUGAAUAGAGUGUCUGGGGCUAUUUAUAGUGAAAGCAGCCUCUGACCUAGUCUAGCCCUGGCUUUAUUUUGAAAAAUGCAGACACCCACCAGGAAUAACGGCAGCAUCUGGUGUCACCCGAUAGACAUGCGGUCGCGAGGAACUGGGUUCCCAAACAUGCAUCCUAAAGCAAAAAGGGGUUGCUGAUAUCAUCUCACAAAGAUGGAGAUAAUGGAGGCAUAAGCACAAUACAGUCAAAUAUAUUUUGGCAAAGUCUCCAUCAGCAGCGGAGAAUGUCGUGGUUAUCCAUUUUUGAAAAUUAUGUAAAUUAUGAAGCUGUAUUCCCUGCCAUUGAUGAAGAUUUUUUUAACACCCAUGUGUUGCAUUGUGCUUAUAUGGUCAUUGAUACAGAACGUUGCAAUUAAAUGAUCACAACUUGG